GACAGAAGACAAAGAAGAAAGUUAAUAUUAAUAAAAAAUAAAAAAGCAUCAUCAGUUAAAAACAUGUGAAGAUGUAAUUUGUCAUCACGUUACUGUUGUUAGUUUUAUCUGAAACAAAGUCUGCUCCGUCUUAUCUCUGGAGGUCUGUUCACUUAAAGUGUCAUAAUGAACCUGUUCCUCACAUUCAGUAAAAUGUUCAUAUAUCAGAUAUUAUUGAUGUCUCUGUCUCAGAGUUUAUUGACAAUCAGGUUAAAACUGAAUAAAUCAUCUCUGGGCUGAAAUGCCAUUAGUUUGAACAUUUCUCAUCCGUGGGUCUGUAGAAGAACUGAUCAACUGCAGUAAAAUGGAUUGAUAUUAUUUAAAAGUUGUGUUUGUUUCCUAAUUUAGGAUGAUAUCUAGGAUAAAAUCAUAUGAUAACAUAAUAUAAAAAUAUUAAAUAUAAUAUAAAAAUAAAACUAUAAUAAUACAAUAUAAAUAAUAUGAAAUCAUAUGAUAAAUGAUAACAUUUAGGAUGAAAUCUAUGUAAAGUUGUAUACAUGAGACCCCAGGAGCAGGGGCGUAGCCAUCUUUUCAGAAGUGACGGAGACAGAAAUUAUAUAUAUAUAUAUAUAAACAUAAACAUUUCUAUAAUCUAUAUAGCCUACCAAUCAACAGUUUUUGAACUGUAAGAUAUUUUGUUUUUAAAGAAGUCUCUUCUGCUCACCAAGCCUGCAUUUAUUUGAUCCAAAGUACAGCAAAAACAGUAAUAUUGUGAAAUAUUUUUAUAUUUAAAUUAAAAUUUUUUCCCUUAUUGAAUAUAUUUUAAAAAGUAAUUUAUUUGUGUGAUCAAAGCUGUAUUUUCAGCAUUUUUACUCCAGUUUUCAGUGUCACAUCCUUCAGAAAUCAUUCAAAUAUGCCGAUUUGCUGAUUAUUAAUAUUUAAAACAUGAGGUUUUUUUUCAGUAUUCUUUGAUAAAUAUAAGGAUCCAAAGAUCAGCAUUUAUGUGAAAUAAAAAGAUUUUGCAACAUAAUACACUAUAUCAUUCAAAAGCUUAGAGUCAAUAUCAUUUCUG